rnacentral:Y_RNA from 1 species
GGCUGGUCCAAAGAUAGUACAUUAUCUCAACUGGUGUUCACAGUCAGCUACAGAUUGAACUCCUUGUUCUACACUUUCCCAUUCUCACUACUGCACUUAACUAGUUGAAA